UCGGAUGUGGUGCACGGUGCACGUCAGCGUCAGCUAUUUGGGCACAAAUGGAACUGAGCUGAAGUUCGGGGUUCGACUCCCCGCAUCCGAG